rnacentral:rRNA from 1 species
UUGGAGGGCAAGUCUGGUGCCAGCAGCCGCGGUAAUUCCAGCUCCAAUAGCGUAUAUUAAAGUUGUUGCAGUUAAAAAGCUCGUAGUUGAAUUUCGGGAUCAAUGUUUCGGUCAUGCCGUUGGUAUGUACUGAUAUUAUUGAUUUCUCACCUUCUAAAGAACCGUAAUGCCAUUAAUUUGGUGUCACGGGGAAUUAGGACUGUUACCUUGAAAAAAUUAGAGUGUUUAAAGCAGGCUCACGCUUGAAUACAUUAGUAUGGAAUAAUGAAAUAGGACAUCCGAUUCUAUUUUGUUGGUUUCUAGGAUCGAUGUAAUGAUUAAUAGGGAUAGUUGGGGGCAUUAGUAUUCAAUUGUCAGAGGUGAAAUUCUUGGAUUUAUUGAAGACUAACUACUGCGAAAGCAUUUGCCAAGGAUGUUUUCAUUAAUCAAGAACGAAAGUUAGGGGAUCGAAGACGAUCAGAUACCGUCGUAGUCUUAAUCAUAAACUAUGCCGACUAGGGAUCGGAUGAUGUUAAUUUUUUAAUGACUCAUUCGGCGCCUUACGGGAAAC